rnacentral:rRNA from 1 species
GACAGAGGGUGCAAACGUUGUUCGGAUUUACUGGGCGUAAAGCGCGUGUAGGCGGCUUGGCAAGUUGGAUGUGAAAGCCCACGGCUCAACCGUGGAAGCGCAUCCAAAACUGCUUCGCUCGAGUCUCGGAGAGGAAGGUGGAAUGCUUGGUGUAGAGGUGAAAUUCGUAGAGAUCAAGCAGAACACCUGCGGCGAAGGCGGCCUUCUGGACGAUGACUGACGCUGAGACGCGAAAGCGUGGGGAGCAAACAGG